UAUAAAUAUUGAUGUAAAAUUAAUAUAGGCAGUAAAGUUGUUAAAAAGGGAUACAUUUAUUACUCAAAUAAGUUAGACAGCAUGACAGUAAAACCAAACCAUAACAGUGAAACAGAAGGUACCUAUUUUGUACCAGUUAAUCUUCGGGCUAGAUCUCGCUCGUGCGAGGAGGCCCUAAAAGACUUGUGAACCCCUUGUGAACGCCCUCGGUGAUCCUUAACUGGCGUGAACUGGCGCAGGAUAGGGCAGAGUGGCGAUCUCUUGUGUCGGAUCUCGUGUGAUCCUCUUUGGGUCGCUGAGCCAGUGAAAUUAUGAGUAUUAGCCACGAUAUAACUCAUGAAGGAGGGAGAACCUAGAGAACAAACCUAUGGAACGAGAGACGAAGUUGGUCAUAAAUAGAACAGGAGCGAUGAGAUAUUGGGCAGAUUCUCCGGUCGCUGCUUGCUCCUCAUACCCACCCAGAAACUCUGCCGUGUGUCUGCUGAUAUAAAUGCUCUGCACUACAAUAGAAACUGUUAGAAGGAGAUCGUCCAAUGACGGCGUUCUUGUGCUAUCAAAUAGGUACCUAAUGUGAAGAUAAUACCUAGAUUUCUACUCGUCUAAUACCUCGCCUACCUCGAAAAAUUCAAUAAAUCAAUCAAUCAAAAUA